AGCUGCGCCACUAUCGGACUCACAUUGGGAUAAAUAAUCGAUUUGUCCUGUUCGAAAAAUAAUCGUUUGAAGUUUGUGACGAGAAUAGCUUGCUUCAAACAUUGUAAUUUAAACUGGCUUUGCAUUGUUUCAUAUCUGCAAAUGUGAGAUUUUUGAGAACUCACUGAUCACUGGGUAUAACACAACUGGGAGUACAACUUUAUACUUGUCUGUUGACUAACAAACAUUUGUACGCGUCCAAUCCAUCACAGGACAGUGAGAGACAAUCUCUCCCUGAGUAUUGGCUGUCUUAUAUCGGAGGUUUGUGAACUGUGGAAGGCAAUUGCAAAAGUCCUGGAAGGAAAAGUGGAAAGUUCUCCAAGGCCCAAAAGACCAUGAGCUGAAGGACUGAAGACGGCAUCUCCUGAGGAACAUUCAUGGUCAUGGUGGACAAAAAGAGGUUCCGAGUUGGGACUGCAUCCGAACAGAACAUGUCAUGGUGUAGUUUAGGGUUCAGACAGAUGUUUGUGGUAGAUGGUUGGAAGGCGGGGUUGGGUGCGUGUUCCCAGCUGAUAACACACACUGAUAUUACUUCAGUGGUGUCACGUUCCUGCCAGGUCAGACCCUGGUUCUGGCCCUCACUGGCUCGGUCCAACAUGUGGUCCAGGAACCCCUACAAAGAGGACCAGUCUCCCACUCUCCAACCGGUGAUGGUGAACAGUCUCACCACAGAGCCUGGACCUCCAUUCAGUCAACAGGAUGACAGCUCCGACUCGGAGGAGGCACCACCUGGCUCAGAGCAACAGAGGGAUGAGGAGGAGACCCGAGCAGCCGCCACCUCCCCUGACGGACGCUUCCUCAAGUUCAACAUUGAGAUCGGACAUGGGUCCUUCAAAACCGUUUACAAGGGACUGGACACGGAGACGACCUUGGAGGUGGCAUGGUGUGAGCUGCAGACGCAGCGACUCAGCAAGUUGGAGCGCCAGCGCUUCAGUGAGGAGGUGGACAUGCUGAAGAAGCUCCAGCACCCCAACAUCGUCCGCUUCUACGAUUCCUGGAAGUUUGUGUUAAAGGGACACAGGCGCACUGUGCUGGUGACCGAGUUGAUGACAUCAGGAACCUUGAAGACCUACCUCCGCAGGUUUCGGCCAGUGAAGAUGAAGCUGCUCCGGCGCUGGAGCGGCCAGAUUCUGAGGGGUCUCUUCUUCUUGCACUCACGAAGUCCCCCAAUCCUUCAUCGAGACCUCAAGUGUGACAACGUGUUCAUCACCGGACCAAGCGCCUCCGUCAAGAUUGGAGACCUGGGCCUCGCCACACUGAAGAAGGCCUCAUUUGCCAAAAGUGUGAUUGGAACUCCGGAGUUCAUGGCUCCAGAGAUGUACGAGGAGAAGUACGAUGAAGCUGUGGACGUCUACGCCUUCGGCAUGUGUCUUCUUGAGAUGGCCACCUCUGACUAUCCUUACUCGGAAUGUCAAAAUGCUGCCCAGAUUUACCGCAAGGUCACCAAUGGAAUCAAACCAGACAGUUUCUACAAAGUCAAAGAGGCAGAGCUUCGUAGCAUCAUCGACAGCUGCAUCUGCACAAGGAGCUCGGAGCGUUUCACCGUCCAGGAGCUGCUCGAUCAGCCGUUCUUCCAGGAGCAGCAGGGAGUCAGUGUGGAGCUGGCGGAGGAUGACGAUGGCCAGAAGGGGGCGCUGAAGCUGUGGCUUCGUAUGGAGGGGGAAAGGAAGCUGCACGGGAAGUACAAAGAUAGCGCCGCCAUCGAGUUCCGGUUUGAGCCAUACAAGGAUGUCCCCGAGGAGGUGGCUCAGGAGAUGGUGGUCCUGGGCUUUGUCUCGGAAGCUGACUACAAACUUGUUGCCACGGCAAUCAGGAUACGAGUGAAUGCCAUUCAUUUUAAACGGGAGAGACAGUGGCGGCUUCAGGAAAAGUCCGCCGUCCAAUCAGAGGAUGAUGUGGAUCCGAAACCAUCAAGUGCUCAUCUGAGCGUCCAGAGGGACUCGGAUGUCAGUGCGACACCUGCGUCGCCACUCACGUGGACGCCAGCGGUGACACCAACGGCCACAGCAUCUGUGGCCAAGUGGAGCAACUCCACCAUGGGAGAAGCCACACCCACACCUCAGCUGAGUCGUCCCGAUCUGUCAAUCAAGUGGCCCCGGCCCCAAUUCUCCGUUCCUGCUCACCACGCUCCAAUAAAGCAGAGGUCCAAGGCUCCACCUUUCCCUGUCUUCCGAUACCCGAAGAGCAUCACAGUUUCCCAAAGUCCCCAAGGCUCAGUGUCCAAGUCGCUCACCGGGUUCUCCUCACCUGCCGACAGCCACACGUCGGACGUGACCUCGGGUUUGAGUGACAGCGCUGAGGGCCAAACAGAGAGGAGAAAGGAGCGGCCGAAGAGGCGGCCCAGAACUCGCCUGAAGAUGAUCACGGUGUCUGACAGGGUGGUGGAGUCUCACCUGGAGACUCACAACGGUAAAAUCGUCACGUUCAAGUUCGACCUGGAUGGAGACAAUCCUGAAGACAUCGCUGCAGCCAUGAUCCUCAGAGACUUCAUUCUCCCGGACGAACGCCAGGAUUUCAUCCAUCAGAUGAAUGACAUCAUCGCUAGAGCGGAGUCUGUGACCUCCAGACCUUCUGCAGCUCCACCCCUUGCUCCAGCUCCGUCCCCUUCUCAUCUCCCAGGCAACACCCGAAGGCCCCACCGAGAGCCAGUCCGCCCUCCACCCCUGCCCUUUCUUUCACAGUAUAGCCCACCAUACUCUCCCUACAUGUCACCCCAGGCCCCCACCUGGAGCCCUGACCUCUCUCCCUCUGUGGCGACCCCUCCUCUCUGGCCUCGCCCCUCCGACCAGUCCCUCCUCUCUGUGGCCAACUUCUUGUCUAUGGCAGUGAAUGUGGCUCAGUCCUUCCUGCCGCCCCUCCCGGCUCAAGCUUCCUCAACUGCACCGUCUUUGUCGGACUCUCAGUCAGGCCCCGCCCCCCGUCGGCGUCACCUGGAGUCCAACAGUCCAGGAUCGGCCCCGCCCCCUGCUGUUUCCACAGUCGGACGCUUCCAGGUUUCUACCUCGAAAACCAUUCCAGGUGUGCGUGUUGAGCCACACCCCUUUAACAAUGCCACGCCCACUGCCCGCUCCCCCCCUCCCUCAUUGAGCCUGGAUUCCACGAGCUCUGACAGCAGUGACGACGACCUGAUGCUCGGACAGAGGGGGGCACUGGAUGAGGGGCCAGAGGGGAGCAAGGAAGGGGAGGAGCUUACUGGCUCAGCGUCCAGUGUCACCUCAGAGGAGUCGGACAGUGAAUACGAGGACUCGUGGGCGGAGCUAAAGCAGCUGCGUGAGAAGCACCUGGCUGAGGUGGAGUCUCUGCAGGCCAGUCAGAAGCAGGAGAUUGUGCACCUGUACCAGUCGAUGGGCAAGACACCGCCCCCUGGUGUCUUCCCUCCUGCCGCCAUGUUGAACCAACGGCAGCGCCGUCUUUCCAAAUCAGGGAACCUGCCCCCUCGGAACCCGCCCCCUCAACGCCGCAGCAGUGUGCAGAGGGACUCGGCAGCUCCAACAGGUCACUUGACUCCGAUCCUUCUCCAGGUAUCAUGAGGAACAGCAGGGAGGCGCACUUUAAGGCUGGGCGGGGGGUGACGUUCGCGACUCAUCACACCUGGAUGUAAUCACCUCGCCCUCUCUGGUUUGUUUGUGUCCGGACACCCGGACCACCCCCGCUGGAUGCUCCCCACAUGUGAUGAGUCUGUCUGAUGGGAACCGGCCGCGUGGUGUGUUUCGAACUCUGGAUGCCUGUGUGAACUGAGAGGAAGUGACGUCACAGAUGGUUCAAACUCAUUUCUCUCCUUCAUCCGAGCCUGGAAAUACUUCCUGAUCGGUCUGUCACUGAGGUGGGGGGGGUUGAGCGCCUGCUGCUUCCUGUUCAGAGUGAGCCUCCAGUGCGCCCUCUGCUCCCAGCAUCCCCUGGUCCUGUGUUUGUGUGGACCACAGGACGGCCCUUUGGGGAUGGCUGAGGGCGAGGUAGAGGGUUUUCUUCUACUGUGGCACACACAGGCUACUUGUACUUUAUAUUCUUCUAUUUUAUUUUUGCUGUGCUAAAUCUAUUCUUCAAUCACUUUCUGCACUUUGGGUUGUGAAAUUAUACAAAUAAAUGUAACAAAAGACGACAAAAUGUGUGCAGGCACUUUUCACACACACAGACCUUCAUGUUGGACUAGGAAGGACUUUAAUUGAUAUUGUUUUUUUUUUUUUUAUUGUUUAUGCUGUCAGACAUUCCCUCUCGCACACACACGUGCAUGUUUGUUUUGCUAUUUGUGUGAGGACCUCUCAUGGCCAUAACCCUUUCCCCAGUCUCUCACCCUUAACUUACCAUCCAAAACAAAUGGCUAACCUUAACAAGGACUCUGAACCAAACUUGCGCACAAUAAUUAUAAACUACUUUUAAAGGCGUUUUAACCUUUUAAACCUUGUGUGGACAGGCCAAAAUCUCCUGACAAGAAGGUGACUUGUCAAGAUUUGGUACUCCCAUGUAAGGCAAAACAUGCCCACACACACAUGCAUGUGCGUGCACACACUUGGCACAUGCUCACGUACAGAGACGGAAGAAUGACUUGCCUUUGUGUAAUCGUUGAUAAGCCUUCUCUAAACUUCUGCUUGUUUACCUGUUUGGUGUCACAAUCUAACGGUGGUAGAUUGUGUAAUGGCAUCCUCAGAACCUGCGUGGUGUUGCCACACCAGUUCUGUGACCCCACGUUUGACUGACUGACUCUAUGUCACAUACUUUUAUUCAUUUUCUUUUUUUUUUGUUGCUAAGGCUACUUUUUAGCCAGAGCUCUCCAAGUGCAGAAAUAUAGUUUGUUCCCACAGCAGUGAGUUUUACAGUCACACUGGAGACUGUGUGAGUAUUUUCGUCAUCCACAUCAGGGGAGUCAAACUGAAUCCCAAAGGGCUGUGUGGGUCCAGGUUUGCGCUCCAACCAAAGUAGCUGCACCAGACUGACCAUCAACUGGUGAAGGUCUUCAGACACCUAGUAGGUUAAACUGUUCCUGUUCAGUUGGAGCAGGAUUUGGGAUUCACCUGUGUAAGACCCCCAACCCAGGGGUCACUCUGAGCUGCCACCAAUUCUGUGUCACACCUGCUCUCUCUGGUAGUCCCGACUGGAACCACAUGCCGGACCGUCUCUAUUGCAAUUGUGGUGAUGUCUGGGUGGCUCACGCACCGUUGCCUCUCGAUGUGACCUUGAGACUUUUUGUUCAUUGCCUUUAUUUUUCUGUAUCUUCACCAAAAAAGGGAAUGGAGCCGGCUUGCCUGUGGGCUGGUACUGGGUGUGGACAGGUUCUGGAUGUGGGCGGGUUCUGGAUGGGGAUGUGUUUAAAAGCGUAGACUUGGACAAAACAUCUCAGCAGCGACUUGAAGGAGCAGUUGAGGACUGUGUUCCGUUCCGGCCCUGUUUCUCCACCUGCUUGUUGAUAUGCGGCAUCUUUGGCUCCUCCUCCUGAUGGCUGUGCUCAUCGAUGUCACAGAUUCUGUGCUCGAGAACAAGCUGAAGAACCCGGGCCAGUGGAAGAAGAACCUCAAGGAUGGGACCAAGCUUUUCUUGGCCAAUGUCAAU